rfam:Nicotiana attenuata strain TT chromosome 7, whole genome shotgun sequence.
AUACCUUUCUCGGCCUUUUGGCUAAGAUCAAGUGUAGUAUCUGUUCUUAUCAGUUAUGUGAGUCAUCGGCUCAAACGAUAUUAACUUAAUUUUUUUAGAGGAAGAGUCCAUUAAGGUAGCUUGCUACCUGGGCUCUUGAGCGUCGCCCAUGUGUUGCACUAUUGCACGGGCCUGGCGCACCCCAC